CUCAUGGGCCGUUGUCAGACGACUCACUGAGGGUUUUACCGGAUGUGAAAGGUACCAUCCAAAGACUGGGAAAAGACACGUGGUGGUCAUCUUCUCAUCUCCAGAGAUCUAUUCUUACUUGGUUGAAAAGCGCAGAACAUCGUCUACAGAAUAAGAGAAUGGUAGUGCCUUGGAAUCUCUAUGACAACUUUCAGUUCCUGUCAUUUUUAAUUUUGAAAGUUCCAGUCGAGCUGUCGUAAAGGCAGCGAUGCUUCAUAACCCCGUGUGAAAUAAAAAUUUUAAAAUAUUUUAUGGGCUGGAAAACACCAUUAAUCCACAUCCAGAUUGGACAAGAGUGAACGGCCACCACCACCACGACCCCUCCUUCACAUCAGUAAAACCCCAAAAGGUAAAACUCCAAAGGGUCGGUCCAAAUAGAAGAAAAAUUCCUCUAAAGAUAUGGUGAUCCGGACGAAUACUGGAAAUAUCAAAAUGUUUAUUAUUUCUGAACAGUAAAAGGAGGGAAUAGCCCUGCUCCACCUUAAUAUGCCUCUCUAUAAAGCCUUCACUGUGUGUCUUGUUAGGAAAGACCAACCCACUGGAUAUGGUUCACCAACAGUCAGAGUUUAAAACCUUGAAGGUCACACAGCUAGAAGAUCUAUAACCUUGAAGGAGCUAGAAGAUGGGGCUGCACUCCGGAAAUGAAGCACUGCCGCCCACCAUGUCAGUAGCUGGUCAUGAGGUGCGGCGUCACUAGAAGACCAUACCCUGCGGCUAAUCUUUACACUGCUUCCUUUCAGUUAGUCCACUCCCCUUACACACGCGCCUCCAAGGCUGGACACAUGCGUGCUAUUUUCUAGUCUCCGCCUUACUCUUAACACUGGCUCAUUGGAAGCUCCAUGAAGUCGAUGGUUUCCUUUCCUGAAGUGAGCUGGUGUUGCAUAACCUGCUGGAGGAGUGCUGGGUCCCCAGGGAGCCAGCGGGAGCCUCGCAGACUGGCUGGCGCGAGUCCCGCGUUCCGUCCAGCAGGGGGCAGCAGAGCUCGCUGGCGCCGCUGCGCAGCCCGUCUGCGAGGCUGGAGCCAUUACAGCCCCUCCGGGAAAAGGCUAGAGUCCUCAAGCAUCCUGUUCUCUGUGGAAGCAUUUUUCCAGCCUCGUUUAAGCUAGGACACAGUGUUUCAGCAGCUGAUGCGUAAUCGCUUUGUUUUUUACUUCUUGCUCUGCUUUUGUUCACUUUUAAAGAGGCAUUAAUUACGUGCCUGGCCAUAUCAGUCUGCACCAGACACCUUGUAUUUCGUCCCUUCAUUGUCUUCUAGUCAUUGUCUCCAACUUUCCAGACGAUGACCGUGCUAUAAGUAACUGAAAGAAGUAAAGAUUUCAAAACGGGACUGAGACCGGAGCUUGGGCGAGUAAGGAAAGAUGUAUGGCUUUUUUAUUAGGUUUUUAACAGUCUUCUGUCCAGACAUAUUGGACAUGAUUUAGUAAAAGGCCGAUGUAGUUCCAGUGCUUUUAUAAAUGCUAAAGGAUAGGAAACUGAAAUGAUAUUGGAAGAUUUCUUGAUCUGAAAGACAACAUACAAUUCAGCUUUUCCUUUGAGCAAUUGGCCCAGGCACAGGUGGGGAGUGUAUGAUCUUCACCCAAGAACUGCUGGAUCCCAGCCUGCAGUUCCGCAGGUCCCCAGACGAUUUCUGUGUGUUUGGAAGUCUGGGAAACAGCCUGAGAGGGCUCCCAAUUUGCCUUCCAAAAUAUGGAGGGCCAAUAUUUGAAAAAACUUGAGUAUAUUUGUUUGGUCUUGUUCAGAAGGGCAGGCAUAAUUUCAGUAUCUAUGAUCCCUGAGAGGAGAAGAGACUCUCCACUUCCCGUAAAGUACAGGGAAUUGUGGGUUGGGGUCUUAUCUCAAACCUACUGGCUUCCUACUAGUUACCAAACAAGCUCAAAGUGGAAUGUCUCAGCUAACUACUUCUUCCCUUUGAUUCUUAUUACUUAUAAGAUAGGAAUGUGGGUUUUAAAAAACACUAGGUUAUGACCCUCCCUCCCCCACCACGUGGCCAAGUGUGCAUGUGUGUGCAUGUACAUGUGCGCUGUAAAAUGUUAGGAUUCUACAAAUCUUAUUCACGGAUAUGAACAACGUCAGGGGUCCACAGUGGUGUGGUUUGCCCUGAGUGGUAAGCAUCAUCACAGUUUGAAGGCAGUGUGGAUGGAGGUGGGCAGAGGAUCCCAAGGUCCUGAGAGACUUGGAUGUGUUAGAGCACAGUGCAAGGAUAGGUGUGAUAGAUAAACCGAAAA
rnacentral:sRNA from 1 species